GCAUUCUGUUCCAGAGCUCUACAAUAUGGCAAGAUGAAAAAUUCUCUUUUCUAAACCAAGAUGAUCGAGUGAUCACAUAUCUUCACCUCGCCCGGGACUGGGUUUCUUGGAGAUAACUCUUAUUUCCUCCGCAAGUGUUCUUCGCUCCUCCUCCACUCGACGUUCUUAGUGGGGACGGAGAAAUCUGCAUCGGAUGGAUUAGAUAUGUUUAUCCUGGUUUUCUUCUGCUGAAAUUUGUUUUCUGUCGACAAGUUCAACAUGUUGAGGAGAGCCCCACGCACCCACUUCCCAGUUGUGAAGGACUUUGAUGACGCCGUCAAACAUUUGGUUGAUCUUUUGCGUACAAGCAACGACCGUUCUACAGAAGGCAAACUCGAAGUAUUCGUCUGUUAUGGCUGGUUUGAGGGCGUGGGAGCAUCUGCUGUCCUUAGAGCUACAGCCAAACUCCUAAACUCUACAACAUGUGAUGAUUUCAACACGAGAAAGCAUUUUGACAGAGUCGUCUACGUGGACUGCUCAAAUUGUAUAAACAGAAGGGCCAUGCAGAGGGCAAUCGCAAAGGAGUUGAACCUUCACCAUGCAAUGCCCAUAUUUGAUAAGCAAGAUGAAGAUGAUGAUUUCAGAGGGGUACACAACAGCAAUAGAAAAGAGGUGCCGGGGUUCGGAAGUUUGAUUACUAAGUCACUAAGAGAUGAAAGAUUUUUGAUGAUUUUUGAUUACAAUACAGCAAGAUGCCAAAAGAAGCUCGUAGCAUUACCAUUACACCACCCAUCUUCUGCUCUGUCUCUCUCUCUUGCAGUUGCAGUGCAUUCCGUUGCAGAGCUCUUAACACAAAAUGACAGAGUGAAAUUUUGUUUUGUUUCAAGCAAGAUGAUGGAGUGAUCAGAGAUACCUUUGCCUUGGACUGGGUUUCCUGGAGAUAACCCUUAUUUUCCUCUGCAAGUGUUCUUCGUCAUGGCGGUAGGUACCAGUGUUUGUUCCAUUAAAGAUGUGCAUCACCUCAGGUGUGAAGGCUAAACACAAAUG